rnacentral:rRNA from 1 species
UACGAAGGGGGCUAGCGUUGCUCGGAAUCACUGGGCGUAAAGGGUGCGUAGGCGGGUUUUUAAGUCAGAGGUGAAAUCCUGGAGCUCAACUCCAGAACUGCCUUUGAUACUGAGAGUCUCGAGUCCGGGAGAGGUGAGUGGAACUGCGAGUGUAGAGGUGAAAUUCGUAGAUAUUCGCAAGAACACCAGUGGCGAAGGCGGCUCACUGGCCCGGUACUGACGCUGAGGUGCGAAAGCGUGGGGAGCAAACAGG